GGGAAGCUGCAGGUCAGAAGAGCAAAGGGUGAUUUGGAGGUGCUGAGGAUGACACGCCAGGCCAGGCAGAUCACUGGGCUGGGGCAUAGGAGGGUCUGGGGCGGCUCAGCUGGCGCCCAAACUGUUUCCCCAAAGCUGCUCCAGAGAAUCCCAAAGCAAAUCAACUUCCUGCCACUCAGCAGAAUGCCAGUUCAUGGUCCUGCGAUCCUAGACACCUGCACCCCUAUCUUCUGCUGCGCAUGUCCAUGCACACGCAGGUUCAAGACGCGCACUUCACUUUUGCAGUCCCCCGCCUCCUAAGUGGACAACCUCGACCCGCGAAACCGCGGCCCAGAGCAGACCUCUCAGGUGCAGAGCGACGCCCCUGAGAGCCGAGUCUAUCCCGGCCCAUCGCAGCCAGACUGGCCCUCGCCUUGCAUCGUCCUGGGAGAAGGCGGCCAGACCCAACUGGAAGAAGUGGUCCGGCCAGUCCCGGCCCAAGACCGCGGCCAGGAGGGGGUCGGGCCGCCCACCCAAGCCCAUUGGUCCGACCCUGCGCGGUGUAAUUGGGGCGGGGGGGAGGCGACCGGCGGGCGGCGGCUCCAGAGAAACUGCGCGCCUGUCAGCCACAAUUUGUGUAAGAGGACGGGACAGGCCAGGCCACUGCGGGCUGGGGUCACCGAGGCCGCGGCCCACACCCCGGCCAGACUCCGGACCGCGGGGGAGCCCCGCCGGGCCGCUAAACCAGGCUGGCUGGCGCCAAGACUCUGGGAGGCGCGGGUCCAGCAGAGAAGCCGGGUAGGAAGCAGCUCUGUCGCGGGCGUGUCCCCCCCCCACGUCGAGACGCGCCCAGUGGCACCCACAGCUGGUCACCCACACAGGGCCACUCGAGUCACCGAGCUCAGCCUUGGCACGUGCAUUGCCGCCGGAAGCUCAGGGCCAGGCUCAGGCCGGCGCCGGGUCACUCGCAGGCACGUCCGUCCCCUCGGCCACACGCGCUGAGCGCACCCGCCAGCCACGCCACGCGGGCUCACGCAAACCCACACCCGUCACACAGCGGGGACACCAGCGGGGACGCUGCCGCUCUGAGGAUCAACCCUGUGGAGGGCCCAGCAGUGUCCCUGGCCCCUGCAAGAGGUUACAGAGCCGAA
rnacentral:lncRNA from 1 species